rnacentral:piRNA from 1 species
UCCUGUAGUCUUCGCAGCCAUCGGUGUUCU